rnacentral:pre_miRNA from 1 species
UGGGCACUUCUAAAAUAUAUAUAUAUAUAUAUAUAUAUAUUUGUUGAUAAUUGAACUUAUAUAUUUUAGCCGUGUUCCAUGA